rnacentral:rRNA from 1 species
ACGAACGCUGGCGGCGUGCUUAACACAUGCAAGUCGAACGGUGAAGCGCCUUCCUUUUUGGUGGGUGUGGAUGAGUGGCGAACGGGUGAGUAACACGUGAGUAACCUGCCCCCUUCUUCUGGAUAACCGCAUGAAAGUGUGGCUAAUACGGGAUAUUCUGGGUCUGUCGCAUGAUGGGUCUGGGAAAGAUAUUGUUUCGGUGGGGGAUGGGCUCGCGGCCUAUCAGCUUGUUGGUGGGGUGAUGGCCUACCAAGGCGGUGACGGGUAGCCGGCCUGAGAGGGUGGACGGUCACACUGGGACUGAGACACGGCCCAGACUCCUACGGGAGGCAGCAGUGGGGAAUAUUGCACAAUGGGCGCAAGCCUGAUGCAGCGCCGCCGCGUGAGGGAUGGAGGCCUUCGGGUUGUGAACCUCUUUCGCCAGUGAAGCAGGCCUGCCUCGUUUGUGGGUGGGUUGACGGUAGCUGGAUAAGAAGCGCCGGCUAACUACGUG